AGAGUUUGAUCCUGGCUCAGAACGUACGCUGGCGGCACGCCUAACACAUGCAAGUCGAACGAAGUAGCAAUACUUAGUGGCAGACGGGUGAGUAACAUGUGGGUAUCUUCCCUUUGGCCUGGAAUAACACGAGGAAACUUGUGCUAAUACCGGAUAAGUCUUUACAGAGAAAGCUUUAUGCACCAUUGGAUGAGCCUGCACUUGAUUAGUUUGUUGGUAGGGUAAUGGCCUACCAAGACUAUGAUCAAUAGCUGAUUUGAGAGGAUGAUCAGCCACAUUGGGACUGAGACACGGCCCAAACUCCUACGGGAGGCAGCAGUGGGGAAUCUUGCACAAUGGAGGAAACUCUGAUGCAGCGAUGCCGCGUGAGUGAAGAAGGCCUUUGGGUUGUAAAGCUCUUUCGUCGGGGAAGAAAAUGACUGUACCCGAAUAAGAAGGUCCGGCUAACUUCGUGCCAGCAGCCGCGGUAAUACGAAGGGACCUAGCGUAGUUCGGAAUUACUGGGCUUAAAGAGUUCGUAGGUGGUUGAAAAAGUUGGUGGUGAAAUCCCAGAGCUUAACUCUGGAACUGCCAUCAAAACUUUUCAGCUAGAGUUUGAUAGAGGAAAGCAGAAUUUCUAGUGUAGAGGUGAAAUUCGUAGAUAUUAGAAAGAAUACCAAUUGCGAAGGCAGCUUUCUGGAUCAUUACUGACACUGAGGAACGAAAGCAUGGGUAGCGAAGAGGAUUAGAUACCCUCGUAGUCCAUGCCGUAAACGAUGUGUGUUAGACGUUGGAAAUUUAUUUUCAGUGUCGCAGCGAAAGCGAUAAACACACCGCCUGGGGAGUACGACCGCAAGGUUAAAACUCAAAUGAAUUGACGGGGACCCGCACAAGUAGUGGAGCAUGUGGUUUAAUUCGAAGAUACGCGCAGAACCUUACCAACACUUGACAUGUUCGUCGCGACUUUAAGAGAUUAAAGUUUUCGGUUCGGCCGGACGAAACACAGGUGCUGCAUGGCUGUCGUCAGCUCGUGUCGUGAGAUGUUGGGUUAAGUCCCGCAACGAGCGCAACCCUCACUUUUAGUUGCCAUCAUUUAGUUGGGCACUCUGAAAGAACUGCCAGUGAUAAGCUGGAGGAAGGUGGGGAUGACGUCAAGUCCUCAUGGCCCUUACGUGUUGGGCUACACACGUGCUACAAUGGUAUCUACAACAGGAAGCAAGACGGCGACGUCAAGCAAAUCCUUAAAAGAUACCUCAGUUCGGAUUGCACUCUGCAACUCGAGUGCAUGAAGCUGGAAUUACUAGUAAUCGUGGAUCAGCGUGCCACGGUGAAUGCGUUCCCGGGUCUUGUACACACCGCCCGUCACACCAUGGGAGUUGGUUCUACCUUAAGGCAAGGUUUAAAACCCUUGACCACGGUAUAGUCAGCGACUGGGGUGAAGUCGUAACAAGGUAACC
rnacentral:rRNA from 2 species